rnacentral:rRNA from 1 species
UACAGAGGUCUCAAGCGUUGUUCGGAUUCAUUGGGCGUAAAGAGCUCGUAGGCGGCUUGUCGCGUCGACUGUGAAAUCCCGAGGCUCAACUUCGGGCUUGCAGUCGAUACGGGCAGGCUAGAGUUCGGUAGGGGAGACUGGAAUUCCUGGUGUAGCGGUGAAAUGCGCAGAUAUCAGGAGGAACACCGAUGGCGAAGGCAGGUCUCUGGGCCGAUACUGACGCUGAGGAGCGAAAGCGUGGGGAGCGAACAGG